CCCACGAGGCCCUAAAAAGAGAACACAGGGCCGUCCUCUGUCCUUCUGAAAGCUUUGGGUGACUGUUGAAAACCUAGCUUACCGUCUGGAAGAGAAGCUACCCCGGAACAUGAGCUCCCUGAGAGCCAGGCCGCUCCGUAGCGAUCACCGCCAUAUCCCAGUGCCUGGAACGGUGCCUGGAACAGCGCCUGGCACCUGGAAUCUUUCAUCUGUUGGACGGUGCAGGAAGGGGAGGGACAACCCAG